rnacentral:lncRNA from 1 species
CACCGCUUAGUACGAAAGGACUGAGCAAACCAAGCUUGUUUACUUUCUUUCCUCUUUCCUCCCACUUUCCUCUUUCUCUCUCUCAACAAGGCGAAACUGCUCUUUACCCAAGUGAAAAAGUUCGAAGCUAGGAGGAGGGAGUUUUUGUGAGUUUGCAAAAUGUCGGUGCGAAUGAGGGAUGCGCUCAUCGUUUGGAACAUCGUUGGUUGACGUCACGAUGACGUUCCCAUGCCAGCCACCCCCUGCCAGUCAUCGUAAAAGACGCUAAUCCUCUACCCUCAACAUUUCCCAACAAUAAAUGUAGGGCCUACCCUGCACUGUGUCUGCACAGAACAACGAAGCUUGGGCGAGGAAAUAGGCAAAGAGAACAAGCGAACUACUUUGUCUAUUCCAUUCAUGAGUUGAAAAAUAAAACCCCCAGCGAAAAUCUUCGUCGGUUCAUCAGGAUUAGAGAAAACUAAGGCAUUCUUCGUAAUCGUACAUCCUGUCGAAUCUGGCAUAAAAAGCGAACUUCUUCGUCCAUCCCGGAGAAUUUGACAAAUCAGCGAAAGUGUCCGUCAGUAACACGGGAUUUGGCAAAACUACGAAACUCUUCGUACAUCCGGUCAGAUUCGACAAAAACAUCGAAAGUCUUCGUUCAUCCCAACAGAAUUCGCCAAAAAACUGCGAAAUUCUUUUGCCAUCUCUCAGGAUUAGUCAAAACAGCGAAAAUCUUCGUUCGUCGCAACAGAAUUCGUCAAAACUGCGAAAUACUUUGUCCGUCUCUCAAGAUUUAGCUUAGUCAAAACUGCGAAAAUCUUCGUUUACCCGCCAGUAUUAGGCGAAACUACGAACUUCUUCGUCCUUUCCAUCCAAUUCGACAAAACAGCGAAGUUUUUUUCGCCCAACCCUCAGGAUUUCCACAAUAUUGGAGGGCGUACAUUGUGAUGUGUCCUUCCUUGCCUUAUAGACUCUAGUGUCAGACGCGCUGUGCAGAAACACCAACUGUAGGCUAACGGAAUCCUUUUCCACCGUCGUCAACAACGCCAUCACCACCACCAUCACCACCAUCAUCACCAUCACCACCACCAUCACCAUCACCAUCACCACCACCACCACCAUCACCACCAACACCGUCAUCAACAACUGUUGUAGUAGUUUGUCUUACUCAGAAUGCAACCGCUCCCCUCCCCUGUGGUCCAAAAGUGGGAGGACAUGCUGAUCGCCUUUAUUAAUCAUCUCCUGGUUCCGGUUGGCGUUUCGUCUGUGGUCAGUCCUGCCCGUCAGUCGCUUUGUGGGUGAACGCAACAUGACGAGUUGUUAGAACAUCAGAAUUUGUCGUGUCCGCCUAUGACUAUGAGUAAUUAUUUAUUCUCUCCUGUAGAGUUCUUUUAGAUAUCUUUAGUCGUCACCAAGUGGCGGUGUGUAUAGAGUUGACUUAAAGUUGUGUAGUCGAGCUGCGAAACAGAGGAGUGGAACCACCAAAAAAGUGCUUUCUCUUUUGUUCUGAUUUUCAUUUGUUUAAGAUUGGUAGAAUCCAAAAGUGAUUUUUAUUCUUUGAAAUCAUUCUAAGUGGAUAUGUAGUACUAGCCAAGAGUGAUUUUUAUUCUUUGAAAUCAUUCUAAGUGGAUAUGUAGUACUCGCCAAGAGUGAUUUUUGUUCUCUGAAAUCUUUAUAAUUGGAUAGAAUCUAUGUAGUACUCGCCAAGAGUGAUUUUUGUUCUCUGAAAUCUUUAUAAGUGGUUAUGUAGAAACCAAAAGUGAUUUUUGUUUUUUGAAAUCUUUAUAAGUGGUUAUGUAGAAACCAAAAGUGAUUUUUAUUCUUUGGAAUCAUUCUAAGUGGAUAUGUAGAACAAGCCAAAAGUGUGGGAAUUUUGAUGAGAUAAAGGAACAUUGGAUGUUGGGUUGUUUUUUUUGCCCAUCUACUUCCCACCAUCGGAGAAACAGAAGUCCACAGCGCCGUGGGGGGGAAAAUAUGUGUCGUGUUUGUGAACGUUCAGCGAGGGAGGGGAUUCGGUUUCUGCCAGCCUAACUCAUCCAGGUGGUUGGGUAGAUAGCCGGCCCUGUAGACUUGGCGAGUGACUUGAUCGAGUCUUUGUGACGUAUACAGGCGGAGCAGUUUCCCCACCUCUGUGAAGUUGUAGACAUAACUGUGAGAAAAACUCCGCACCCCGAAAUAGACCCAGUCCUCACCUCACCACACUGGGGUUUUUUUUUUUGGGACCCGCCGAAC